GAUGAACGCUGGCGGCGUGCCUAAUACAUGCAAGUCGAACGCUGGAAAUCUAGCUUGCUAGAUUGAAGGAGUGGCGAACGGGUGAGUAAUACAUAAGCAACCUACCCACGAAGACUGGGAUAAUCUCUGGAAACGGGGACUAAUACCGGAUAGGUAAUCGGAAGGCAUCUUCUGAUUAUUAAAGGUUAAAAACACUGGUGGAUGGGCUUAUGGCGCAUUAGUUAGUUGGUGAGGUAACGGCCCACCAAGACGAUGAUGCGUAGCCGGCCUGAGAGGGUGAACGGCCACAUUGGGACUGAGACACGGCCCAGACUCCUACGGGAGGCAGCAGUAGGGAAUUUUCGGCAAUGGGGGAAACCCUAACCGAGCAACGCCGCGUGAGUGAUGACGGCCUUCGGGUUGUAAAGCUCUGUUGUAAGGGAAGAACGGUAGAUAGAGAAUAUCUAAAUGACGGUACCUUACCAGAAAGCCACGGCUAACUACGUG
rnacentral:rRNA from 1 species